UGGGGAAUAUUGCACAAUGGGGGAAACCCUGAUGCAGCAACGCCGCGUGAGUGAAGAAGUCAUUCGUGAUGUAAAGCUCUAUCAGCAGGGAAGAAAAUGACGGUACCUGAGUAAGAAGCCCCGGCUAACUACGUGCCAGCAGCCGCGGUAAUACGUAGGGGGCAAGCGUUAUCCGGAUUUACUGGGUGUAAAGGGAGCGUAGACGGCCAGACAAGUCUGAAGUGAAAAUCCAGCGCUUAACGCUGGAAGUGCUUUGGAAACUGCCGGGCUGGAGUGCAGGAGGGGCAGGCGGAAUUCCUAGUGUAGCGGUGAAAUGCGUAGAUAUUAGGAGGAACACCAGUGGCGAAGGCGGCCUGCUGGACUGCAACUGACGUUGAGGCUCGAAGGCGUGGGGAGCAAACA
rnacentral:rRNA from 1 species